rnacentral:rRNA from 1 species
UGGGGAAUUUUGGACAAUGGGGGAAACCCUGAUCCAGCCAUCCCGCGUGUGCGAUGAAGGCCUUCGGGUUGUAAAGCACUUUUGGCAGGAAAGAAACGUCAUGGGUUAAUACCCCGUGAAACUGACGGUACCUGCAGAAUAAGCACCGGCUAACUACGUGCCAGCAGCCGCGGUAAUACGUAGGGUGCAAGCGUUAAUCGGAAUUACUGGGCGUAAAGCGUGCGCAGGCGGUUCGGAAAGAAAGAUGUGAAAUCCCAGAGCUCAACUUUGGAACUGCAUUUUUAACUACCGGGAUAGAGUGUGUCAGAGGGAGGUGGAAUUCCGCGUGUAGCAGUGAAAUGCGUAGAUGUGCGGAGGAACACCGAUGGCGAAGGCAGCCUCCUGGGAUAACACUGACGCUCAUGCACGAAAGCGUGGGGAGCAAACAGG